UUGUGGACGAUGCAAGUCAUUUAAUGGUACUAGAGAAAGACAUGCUGUUCUGGUAGCUCCAGGUCUUAACACUCACAUCAAUUUCGGGAGAUGAAUACAACUGAAGGAAGCCUGGGCGGGUGCUCGGCUGGGGGAGUCAUUCAUGUGACUUGCCUCUGGGGGGGGCAAAGCAGUGGACCCCCAGACAACUGUCUCCCCUUGCCCUAUUAUAGUUACGCCCCUGAACCAGACUGAGAGGCGCAGAUAGCAGCAGCAGCAGCAGCAGCAGCAGCAGCAGCAGCAAGACAGCACCCUGUGAAGGCGUGAGUUUCAACUAGCAUCAGGCGCCUCCUUUUCCUUACCUCACAAGAAGCGGCAAAGAAGGACCCUGCCUCCCUUGCCUUAGAGCUCUGACUGGUGCUGUUGCAGAGGCACCUGCGGCUUGCUCUGUGCACAGAUGCCACUUCUCGGAGCUCUCUGCCAAGAGAGUGAAAGAGUGCUCAUUAAGUGGCGCUGGGCAGGUGUGAGAGAGAGAGUGAGGGAGCGGCCGAGGGCAGAACGGAGGAGGAGGAAGUGAAGAGAUGUGGCGGCAGCGUGCAGGACUGUUGCUCCCCUCAGGUAGCUGCCUGUCGGGCUAGACUCACCAUGUUGCUUGCCGGGGAGUGCAGCGGCGAAGGAUGGGUGCAUCUGGGGCCUCACUCGUGGCCCCUGAUUGGUGGGCAGCCCGGGUUCUUUGAACCCUUUUGCCCAAUGGUGGCUCCGCCCCUGGUUCCAUUAACAGACAAAAGACAGAAACCCCCAAGAAGCAAAAGGCACCCUCCAUGCUUUACAUCUCUCCCAUCUGUUGAGAUGGUAUAUGGACCCCCUAUCUAGGGAUGUGCAAACUGUUUCAGGAGUUCAGGGGCUCAGGGUGAAACCGAAUCCCCCCGGUUCCGUCCGGACUGGAACCGAACCUCCGCACCAUUUCGCGAUUUUUUUAAAAUUAAAAAAAAAAUAGUAUCUCCUAGCCCCUAUGGGGGGCUUCCUAAAGGCUGCAGGGGGGCCCAUGAGGGUUCCCCCUCCCCCACCGGCCUCGUUUAUCACUGCUACGGCCCAUAAAAUAAUCCUUUUUGGCCCAUUCAGGCCUCUGUUAUUCGGUGCAGCAGCCAUUUUGCCUGGUACCAAGCAUGCUCAAAUGGCCUCUGCGAAGUCUGGCAUGGCCCAGGGCCUCGCAGAGAUAAUUUAAACCAGACCAGGGGGUGGGUUCAAUGGGGGCCGGACUGAACUGGCCUAGUCAGAUUCGAGUACAGUUCGUACUUGAACCAAACCGGGCUAGUCGGUUCCAUACCGACCCUACCCCUACCCUCACAGAAAAGACAGAUGUUCUUUCCUGGGGGUAAGUUCUACAUACUCACUCAGCACCUGGGAAGAAUGAAACCUUGGAAGAUGUUAUUUUUAUUUCCCCAUGUUUCCUGACUCCUUGGGUUCUUUGGUUGUCUUGUAAUAUACUGUAGAUAAGGAAGUUAAGGUGAGAGAAACCAUUGACCGCAGUGUAAUACAAGAUUCCUGUAAAUUAGCAUUGACCAUUGGGAAUUUUUUAACUGGCACUUUUAAAAUUAUCAGAUAUUAGAAUCAGUUCCUUAUGUUCUGUAGUUCCUUAUAUUCCUUACGUUCUUCCUUAUGUUAAGGAAUCAGUUCCUUAAGACGGAGAGGUCCAUCUCCAGUUUCCACUGGUACGUCUGGUGGUGACUCGGAACUGGGCCUUUUCUGUAGCUGCUCCUGGCCUACAGAAUGCACUCCUGGCAGAUAUCCACAGUUUAGGCUAGCUGUCAGCCUUUAAGAGAGCCCUAAAAUCUUACUUGUUUGGCCUGGCCUUCCAAGGUUUGUAAAUUGUUAUUAAAGUAUUUUAAUUAGUUUUUUAAAGGUUUUUUAAAUUGUUUUUGAAUUGUUUUUAUAUUGUUUUUAGCACUGUGUUUUUAAAUGGUGUGUGCUUUUAGGUUUUUUAAAAUUUGUUGUAUACCGCCCAGAGUCUCUGGAUGGGCCGGCUUAUAAAUGUAAUACAUCAAUAAAUAACUAAUAACUAAUAAAAAUUAUGUGCAUGAUUUUCACAACAAUUGUUAGAAUGUUUGAAAUGUUUUAGCUAUAGCCUGACAUUGAAGGAAAGACCCAUAUGAGGCUGCUUUCUACAAGCCACACACACUGGAGUCUCAUUAAAACGGUACUUAUUGCAUUAUUACUCUUGAAUAGCUGAACAAUCAAACAAGAAACUUCUAUGUUCUGGUAACAUGCUUGAACCUUGGUGAUCUUCUGAGAAUGCAAAGUCUCUUAGAGUAUGAAUGGUGCACUAUAAGAGUUUCCUUCUUUUCCCCCUCUCCUGAAAAUGCUUCACCAGGAAUGAAAGACAAAUGCAAGAUUUUAAGAGUGGUCACAGCUGGUUCUUCAUCUGCAGUGUGAAAGCAGUUUUUCAGCUUGCAUUGUCGAUGUAUGCUUCAACAAGUGAAAUGAAACACUUGGAUCAACCCCCAGUUUUGCUCUUCCCAUCAUGAGUCAGGUGGCUGUAUUGAACAUAGUAAAAGACACUUUCAAACGAAUACCUGUAUUCUAAAUAUUAUACAUUUCUUUUCACCCUACACUUCUAGAUUUAAAUGUUGUCACUAAUGGGUUGAUCUGGUCCAUUUUCCACUCUUUGGGUGACUGAUACAAACAGAAGAGAAGAUCAAGGGAAUAAAAUUAAAGUUGCCAAGAAAUGACAGAGAUGCAUCGCAGGCAUCGCAAACAGAGCAAUUUUAAAGCAAGAGGCUCCCCAACCCAUUAUAUAUGAUAGGGGAAUGGUUUCUAUAUCAUGAAAAAUGCUACAGCAUUCUUUCCAUUAAAUUGGUAAUGUGAUGUUACCACAAGGAAGAGACUUCACCCAACAACUGGAUUGUUGGAAGUGCUUCUAACAACCUUAGCCAUCACCCCAACUGAAACAAAGCCCAAGUAUGUGUAAAUGGAUUUGCUUGUGUACUACCCUCACCUUUCUCUCUUCUUCCUUCUCCCAUGUCUCUCUGCCCAAACUAAGAUUGUAUAGCUUUAUAGUUUUUAUUAUUGUGAUAAUAUAAGUAUAUAUCUUGAUUAAAUCUGCUAACUGGGCAAAGAGGCACCUUUUACUGUGGUGAUUCUCUUUAUUUAGCAGGGGGAGAGUAACUGGCCCUCUCCACCCCCAGCACAGUACUUCCAGUGACUGUUACUGGUGUGUGUCAUGUUUCUUUUUAGAAUGUGAUCCCUUUGGGGACAGGGAGCCAACUUAUUUGUUUUAUUUCUCUUUGUAAACCACCCUGAGCCAUUUUUGGAAGGGCGGUAUAGAAAUCGAAUUAAUAAUAAUAAUAAUAAUAAGUCUAGUUUAUUAUUCUUAAAUUAUUCUUAUGUUGCUAUGAUGAAUAUGUUAUGUCCUCUUUGAAUAUUACAAGAGAUAUUACAAUCAUAUAAAAUUCAGAUUGUAAGCUUCUUUGAGCAGAUGUUUAUUUUAUUACUUAUGUCACUUUGUAAAGUCUUGUGUGCAUCAAAAUAAUCGAGAAGAUAGAAACAUAGAAAGCUACCUUAGGAACAUAGGAAGCUGCCUUAUACCAAGUCAGACCAUUGGUCCAUCUAGCCCAGUAUUGUCUGUACAGACUGGCAGCGGCUCCUUCAAGGUUACAGGCAGGAGUCUUUAUCAUCGAGAGAUGUCAGGGAGGAUACUCUUUCUAGAAUGUUCCCAUCCCCCAAUGGAAUAUCUUACAGUGCUCCCACAUGUAGUCUCCCAUUCAAAUGCAAACUAGGGCAAACCCUGGUUAGCAAAGGGAACAAUUCAUGCCUGCCACCAGACUGGCACCUUAAAUGGUGCAGCAGAUAAAUACUUGACUAACAAGCAGAAGGUUGCCAGUUCAAAUCCCCGCUGGCACUAUAUUGGGCAGCAGUGAUAUAGGAUACUGAAAGGCAUCAUCUCAUAUAGUGCAGGCAGAGGCAAUGGUAAACCCCUCCUGUAUUCUACCAAAGAAAACCACAGGGCUCUGUGGGCACCAGGAGUUGAAAUCGACCUGAUGGCACACUUUACCUUUGCCACCAGACCAGCUCCCAAGACUUUGUUUCAAAAAGCCUUGUCUCUGUUGGAUAUAUUUAACAUUAAAUUGAAUAUAUUAUGUUUCCGGGCCAAGUUCAAAGUGCAGGUUUUAAUCUGUAAAGCCCUAAAUGGCUUGGGACCAGGUUAGAGUGCCUUGCCCAAUAUGUCUCAUCCCGCACCUUAAGAUCUUCUUUGGGGGCCCUCCGAGAGUGCCCCUGUGAACUGAGGUGAGGCGAGUGGCUACUAAGGAGAGGGCCUUUUUGAUGGUUGCACCCCGUUUAUGGAAUAGCCUCCCCAUUGAGGCUCACCUGGAUUCAUCACUUUGUUCGUUUAGAUGCCAAGUAAAGACCUUUAAAAGUUUUAAACUUUAAACUUUUAAACAAACUUGUGUCCUUCAUUCUGGAACUUCCUGUUGUAAACUGCCUAGAGACGUAAGUUUUGGACGGUAUAAAAAUAUGUUAAGUGAAAAUAAAUAAAUAAAUAAAACUUG